UCCAGAUGGUCUUGUUAUCUGGACCAAGAAAAUGCGCACGGAGAUUGCUGCGGUGGUGAGAAAAGGCUGUCACCCUAGCAGCAAUAAAUAUGGAAUACAUUGUUUGAAGCGUGUACCGUUUUACAGGGGGCCACGCUUCUGGUCGCGCGGUGAUGGUGCGUCUGGCUGCGCAAGACGGAGAUGAAGCUGCUGAAACCUGGACCGGCAGAACAGGACCGGGGAGACCUGUUGAACCAGUCGUACAGGAACUCGGGGUGGAUCAAUCUGGAAGAACAUCCACUCUCCCCCAAAAUUAAAGUGUGGACUCCGGCGAAUGUGCGGGCGACUGGAAGAGCCUAGGGUGGGGAACCUAACCCAGCACCGACGAUCGACAUCAAUGGACUUCCCUCUCGAUCCGGCGAGCAGCCUGCCUGUCUACAAGGGUACAUCGGACCUGUUGCGGCGGCGCCAGAAGAUGGUGAGUGCAGCUAUGUGGGUCGGUUCCGGCGGAUCCAUCCGUGGUGGGCAUCGUCCAUGCAGUUGCUGCUGUGGGUGAACGCGAAGGAGACGGGCAAGCUAAGUCCGCGUAAUGAACUGGAAAUAUGGAUCCAUUGGCACCGGGAUGGACGAAGAGAGUCCGAGUUGAUCAAGCACCUCCUGAUCGGACACCUUGUCCAUCGAGACCAAGCGCCCUCGAAAAGUCAAUCCGUGGGUACGCGGGGAUGAGGUCAUCGAUCCUUGCAUGGGGACUACAUUCAACUCAUUGGGUGAAGUUUACGACUUCUACAACUUAUUCUCCUGGGAACAUGGUUUUGGAAUUAGAUAUGGAAAGAAUCGGCUGAAUGCUGAGAAGACAAAAUGCAUGAAGGGAAUUGUGUGCGGCUGUUCGUUAAGUCAAUUCAACAGAACUGACUGAAAAAUGAAUCCAUACAUGGUGCUGUGACAAAGACUAACAAGGGGAUUGUUAUUUUGCUGUUUUGUUCUCAAAGGGGAAGCCAACUGGGGAGAAUACAAAGUCUUGCAAAUGAAUGCGAGUGCCCCGUGAUGGCCAGGUUGCUUCGGACACUAGACAAUGGGCGGUACAUUGCAGAGCAAACAGGGUGAAGCAUAACCAUACGAUGAGGGAGAACUGUGGCGACAAGGUAUUGUGGCCAUCACACAAACACAUAAGAUCUGUACACCAGGGACCUGGUCUGGCAGCUGCGGGACAGCAACAUAAACAUUGGGAGAUUCUACAACAUAAUUGUGGCAUUCUUUGGGAACGCAAGCAACGUGCCAUUCACGAAGCAAUCUCUUCGGAACCUUUGUGGUCAGGGUAGUAAGGAGCAGGCAGACAAUGACCCUCGUGAGGAGAACAAUUGAAGCAUUCGAUGACCUGGGAGCUAAGUACCUGGACCUCAUAUUUAGAGUCUUAGGCUUUUCUAUUUUACAAAAAAUAGCUUAUUUUUGCAGCUGUGCAGUGCUAGAUAUUAAAAAAAAUCAGUUGACACAGAAAUUAGCCUGGGCAUGGGGGCGGUCCAGGUUAUUGGAUUGGUACAAGAAAAUUCCUUCCAUUAUGUACUGUUGAGCCAAACGGUUCUGCACACAUUGAAUAUAUCUGAGCAAAUGGGCCCGUGCACUGUUUAGAAAGAAGAUACAGAAUAGAAUACAUGUUUGAAUACACUGACAAACCAGGAACAUGGUGACUGUGAUUGGUCAAGAAAACAGGAGCAUCUACACCCCAGAGCCAAAACGAGUUUCCGGAUUGUAAAUUCUUCAUUGCUUUUUCUAUAAUAUCCUCAAAUAUAGUGGGAACUGUAUAUCAUAAAGUAAACAUAUGAAGUUGCUGAAGCUCAAUAAAGGUGCAUCACAUGACUGCAGUACAUAAGCCUACCAGCUCAUGGAUGCAAAUGCAAUCCUGGGACAAUGUGGACAUACAUAAAACAAGGGGUUGGGGGAGCUAACAAAUGCAUGAGUAACAAAAGAACAUCUUCCACACUUUUGACAAAUAGCUUGCCAUUAGAACAAAGUGGUCAAGGACAGAAGAAAGCAACAUGAUCAGCUAUGAACAUCACAGGUCAAAUAUUAGUAUCAGUAAUCGAGUUUAUCUAACAACUAACAGUUCUAGGUUGUGUAGAUUGAGUUCCUAUAUUGAAUGAAAACAGUUGAGGGUGUUCAAUU